CACGUAGGGGCGCAAGCGUUGUCCGGAAUUAUUGGGCGUAAAGAGCUCGUAGGCGGUCUGUUGCGUCCGCUGUGAAACUCGGGGCUUAACCCCGAGCCUGCAGUGGAUACGGGCAGACUAGAGGUAGGUAGGGGAGAAUGGAAUUCCCCGGUGUAGCGGUGAAAUGCGCAGAUAUCGGGAGGAACACCGGUGGCGAAGGCGGUUCUCUGGGCCUUACCUGACGCUGAGGAGCGAAAGCGUGGGGAGCGAACAGG
rnacentral:rRNA from 1 species